UACAGAGGGGGCGAGCGUUGUUCGGAAUUACUGGGCGUAAAGGGCGCGUAGGCGGCCAACUAAGUCAGACGUGAAAUCCCUCGGCUCAACCGGGGAACUGCGUCUGAUACUGGAUGGCUUGAAUUCGGGAGAGGGAUGCGGAAUUCCAGGUGUAGCGGUGAAAUGCGUAGAUAUCUGGAGGAACACCGGGUGGCGAAGGCGGCAUCCUGGACCGAGAUUGACGCUGAUGCGCGAAAGCCAGGGGAGCAAACGGG
rnacentral:rRNA from 1 species